rnacentral:rRNA from 1 species
UAGGGAAUCUUCCGCAAUGGGCGAAAGCCUGACGGAGCAACGCCGCGUGAGUGAUGAAGGUCUUCGGAUCGUAAAACUCUGUUAUUAGGGAAGAACAUAUGUGUAAGUAACUGUGCACAUCUUGACGGUACCUAAUCAGAAAGCCACGGCUAACUACGUGCCAGCAGCCGCGGUAAUACGUAGGUGGCAAGCGUUAUCCGGAAUUAUUGGGCGUAAAGCGCGCGUAGGCGGUUUUUUAAGUCUGAUGUGAAAGCCCACGGCUCAACCGUGGAGGGUCAUUGGAAACUGGAAAACUUGUGUGCAGAAGAGGAAAGUGGAAUUCCAUGUGUAGCGGUGAAAUGCGCAGAGAUAUGGAGGAACACCAGUGGCGAAGGCGACUUUCUGGUCUGUAACUGACGCUGAUGUGCGAAAGCGUGGGGAUCAAACAGGAUUAGAUACCCUGGUAGUCCACGCCGUAAACGAUGAGUGCUAAGUGUUAGGGGGUUUCCGCCCCUUAGUGCUGCAGCUAACGCAUUAAGCACUCCGCCUGGGGAGUACGACCGCAAGGUUG